rnacentral:rRNA from 1 species
UACGUAGGGUGCGAGCGUUGUCCGGAAUUAUUGGGCGUAAAGAGCUUGUAGGCGGUUUGUCGCGUCUGCUGUGAAAUCUCAAGGCUCAACCUUGAGCUUGCAGUGGGUACGGGCAGACUAGAGUGUGGUAGGGGAGACUGGAAUUCCUGGUGUAGCGGUGAAAUGCGCAGAUAUCAGGAGGAACACCGAUGGCGAAGGCAGGUCUCCGGGCCACUACUGACGCUGAGAAGCGAAAGCAUGGGGAGCAAACAGG